rnacentral:misc_RNA from 1 species
GCAAACUUGGUCAUUUAGAGGAAGUAAAAGUCGUAACAAGGUUUCCGUAGGUGAACCUGCGGAAGGAUCAUUAUUGAAUAAACUUGAUGUGGUUGUAGCUGACUCUCUUGGGAGUAUGUGCUCGCCCGUCACUUUUAUCUUUCCACCUGUGCACUUUUUGUAGAUUUGGAUGUAGCUGUCCGAGGCAACUCGGUUGGGAGGAAUGCCAUCUAAUGGCUUUCCUUGUAUGUCCAAGUCUAUGUUUUUAUAUACUCCAUAGUAUGUAACAGAAUGUAUCAAUGGGCCUUGUGCCUAUAAACUUUAUACAACUUUCAGCAACGGAUCUCUUGGCUCUCGCAUCGAUGAAGAACGCAGC